ensembl:processed_transcript Gm10044 predicted gene 10044
GAAAGCCAGGCAGUGCCCAGAUACCUCGCUGGAUACUGCGCGGUGGGACAGCUCCACCGGGCUGCGAGUGUCGGCGCUGUAGCUACAGUGGAGCGUUUCCUCACGUUCCGGGUAAACGGUGUCAACGACCCAGACAAGAAGAACAGAACUGCACUGCACUAUGCUUGUGCGCAUGGCCACCUGGGGGUGGUAACUCUUCUCAUAGAGAGGAACUGCAACAUUAAUGCCUGCGAUGACGACAACUGCACGCCUCUCAUUAAGGCCUCACAGCAUCAGCAUGGGGACUGUGUGGCUGCCUUGCUACAACACGGUGCAGAUCCCAAUGCUGUGGAUGCUCUUGGAAACACUGCCCUCCACUAUGCAGUACACAGUGAAAACACAUUCAUAGCUUCCCAGCUCCUUGAACACAGCGCAAACAUUGAAGCCAAAACAAAGGAGGGCUUCACACCACUUUCACUGGCUCUACGGCAAAACAAAGACCUGAUUGGGGAACUUUUAAUACAGAAGGGUGCAAAUAUACACACAGUGUUCCACCCAGACAGGAGAGAACCUGCCACACAUUUGAUGAAAAUGAACAGAAGUGAAAAUAAAGGCUAUUUUCCGGGAGAUUCCAUGGCAACGUUUGAGAAGUGUGCUGCAGACACAAGUGCUGAGCCACC